rnacentral:lncRNA from 1 species
AGGGAGGGAGGCUGCGGACGAGCGCAGGGAGGAGUUUGCGGUGGGAGGCGCUUGCAGGGGCUCCCCUAGUUCUGUGCUGUGAGCCGGGGCACAAAGAGCCCUCUGCACUCGCAGGACCGCGCUCCCGAGG